CCACUGAGUUAUGAAGAUGUUAUCACCUAUGUACUCGCAGGCUUAGGCCACGAAUAUGAUAGUUUCGUUGCCUCAAUCUCAGCUCGCACUAACAUAGUCACCAUUGAAGAAAUUUAUUCUCUUUUGCUCACAACUAACG